AGAGAAGGUUACAAGAGCGAACGGCGGAUGCCUAGGCUUCUGGAGGCGAUGAAGGACGUGGUAAGCUGCGAUAAGCACCCGGGAACUGCAAACAGGU
rnacentral:rRNA from 1 species